rnacentral:lncRNA from 1 species
CAAUUCAUGUGAGAAAGCAGGCAUUCAUUCCUGCAAGCGUUCAGUCAUUCGAUGGCGUCUACAGGCCACCAAGAAUGAGGGGGUACAGCAGUGAGUGAGGCGGGCCACGCAGGGGCACCAGGGGAGCGGCUGGACACACGAGCAAGGAACCCUGCCGCGCGGUCGCCAGCCCCAGAGCUGCCUGCUCAGCGCCGAGUGACAGCCCCCCGUGGACUCUCCCUGAGCGCUGGACAAGGGCGGGCAGGGCCCACGCCUCCCCGUGGCCAACUGCUCUGCCGCCCCAUUCAACAACCACGACUCAACACGGCCGUGAUUCUGCCCAGGAGCAUAGGCGGCCCGCCGAGGGGCCACUGCACUGCCAGUCGGGCUGCCCGGAGGACGUGGAGCAGCCACUCUUCCCAGGUGUGUGUCCUCCACACGGAGUCCGGCACUGCCGUGGGGCCUGCAGGCUGAGCCGGCGGUCAGUCCUUGCUCGGCCUGGCUGGCCCGUCCUGAGGGUGUGGGUUCCUUCGGCCCUGAGCUCGCGUCCCCUUGUGUGAAGAGUGUGAAUCCCGGCCUCUGAGUCCUUGGGCCAGUUUCCCAAGAGGAUCCACAGGAAAGAGUGCAGCCUGGGAGCGGGAGGGAGGGAUGGACAGGCACUAAUGGGGGACGUUGAGGGCAGUGAAGCUGUUCUGUAUGAUGUGACAAUGGAAGAUACAGGACAUUACACAUUUGUCCAAACCCACAGGACGUGCAACACCGAGAGUGACCCUAAGAAAAGACCGGAGGGAGCUGGUGUUCACAGCUGAUGUGAGCGCUGCGGCUUCUGGAGCCAGAACCAAAGAGGAGCCAUUGGAGACACGUGAAGGCGGCCGCGUUCCCAGCCCCGCAGGCCGGUGCGGAUUUGAGCCAAGGGUCUGGCAGAUGGACUCUUCCUCCGUGAGAGGGGAAGAGGGAACAGCUGCCCGAGGGGAAAACCCUGGUCCCCAACCUCCACAGGCAUGGCCGGCACUCUGUCCCGGCUCCCUGUGGUGCAAGCUCAGUCAUUCAUCAUCUCCGGGCCUCCGGAUUAUUCCAGGGCUGAUUAAAUUAGCGAAUGCAAUCACAAUCUGAAGCGAGUUAAUUGAGAGAAUUUAUUUGGGCCUGACAGUUUUAUGCAUGUUUGAUUAAGUAUUAUAAGGUUUGUUUUUGAUUUUGCAUAAUUUAACUUUAAAUCCUGCACUGGGGGGCCCAUCAACCAUUAACGACCAAAAUAAACCUCUUUUAAGAUGCAUCUAUUUAUGAUUUAUUUCUGAAUGCAAUAUCUUCCAGAUUUUUUUUGGUGCUGUUGCCAAAGUGACAAAUAUGUUAAAAGUAACAUUUUGAGCCA